rnacentral:lncRNA from 1 species
UCCCGCUCCGCCGCCAGCCGGUCCCAGUCCCGCCCCGCCGCCAGCCGGUCUCAAUCCCAGCCUGCCGUCAACCAGUCUCAGUCCCGCACCGCCGCCAAGAGCGGCCGUAGCGGCUCCCGCUUCAACCUCGAGGCGUUCAUCCAGGAACAGCGGAACAAGGGCGUACCCAUCGCCGACGUCGGCACCUUCGGCCUGCCCGGCCUGCCCGCCCCGGAUCAGGGACCGGCAGCGGCCGCCGGCGAGGCCUCUUCAGGCCAGCUCGCGGUCCCGGCCCACUCCUUCCGCGGCGCCACCCUCAGCGCCGCCAGCGCCGCCAGCGCCACCAGCGUCAAUCGACGGCCGCGACGCCGCCAGCGCCACCUGCGCCACAGGUGACCUCCACCUCUGGGCGGCGGCGCGGUGGCAGCUUUGACCUGGAGGAGUACACCGGCCAGGCGACACGGGUGGCGCGGCGCGGCCGGCGGCCGGCGCAGGCGGCUAGGGAGCAGGCGGUGCCGCGGCCUGCGGCGGGGAGGGGCCGCGGCCGCGGUCGCUACAGGCGACCCCAGGCGGAGCCGGAAGAGACGCCUCCGGCUGCGCGGGAGGUGACGAAGACGGCGCCGCGACGCAGCCGCCGGCCACCGCAGAGCGCUGGGACGUCUGGGGGCGGAGCGCCGCCGCUGCGGAGGCGACUGCCCGGCAGGCGCCAGCCCACGGCGACGGUACGGGCGCCCAACUCCAGGCGCGGCAAGUCCCUGGAGUUCGAGCCGGAAACGCUGCCGCAGCUGCAGGAACAGGACGGGGAUGUGCUCGAAGUGCCGCCCGAGCUGGCCGCCUUCAUCGCGCCGGGCAUCGCGCCGCAUUCGGGCAACGGUCAGCUAUCCUCCGUGCAGCUGGAUCAACUCGCCGUGAGUGCGGCGCAGCUGCUGCCCGCGGGAGUGAUCGAAGAGUUCACCACGGCCCGCCAGGGGAGGUCGUAUCUACCAGAUGGCACACGGUCACUGACGCAGUCUCUGACGUCACACAACGCGCCGUCCGCCGACAAAGCCUCACGGUUCGCCUACCUGCCGGAGCCGAAUGGGAGGACUGAGCUGUCUUCCGUUCAGACGUCUUCCAAGCCAGCAUAUCUUCCUCAGCCGGGCGACAUCAGCCCGCCGGACGCCAAACCUUCCUACCUUCCCGAAGCGGGGCGCGGCGGCCUCCCGCGGCCGUCUCUUUUCGACGGUCUUCCACUGCCGCCGCCCGCCGAGGGGCAUUCGAAGCCAGAGCCGGCGCCGGCGGCGGCGGAGUGUGGCGCCGACCCUGGCGCGAUCCGACUAGAGCUGCGGUUUUUGCAGCCGUGCCGGGCGGACGCCGACUGCCCGCUAAAUCUGGCCUGCUUCGCUGCCGCCAUGCCGUGCCCGGGCACCGAGACUAAAGAAACGGACUCCGUGUGCCUGCCAGCCAUGGGGGCCGGCGCCGCCUGCUCCAGAGCCACCCACUGCACGUCCGGGGGAUGCCAAGAGGGGCUCUGCCUCUAGAGCCAGACGUCCGCCGCUGUCACGUGAUCAGCACUCGUCUCAAAGCCGACGGAACACACCCUUCGACGCGUACGAAGGUGCAGAACGCCAAACGACCACGUCAACAGGACCCCCUCCCCCCCCCCCCCCCUCCCGCCAUAGUGUGCUACUGGACUUCCGAAGUGCGUCCCAUUCACGCGCCGGCGAGUGGUCCACUCACAACAUACACGUGACGGAUAUCCAGAAUACGUCCCGCGGACGUCCAGGACGCGUCCCGAGCACGUCCGGGACACGUCCAGAAGACGUCCGAAACACGUCCGGCCUUCCAAGGAGCGACCGGAGCCUGGUCUCGAGUCCCCUCCAGCCGGGCUGCCGCCGGACGAUCGAGAUAGAUCACCGCCGCAACACUAUUUUCAGCUUUGCGAAGAGCGUUUUACGCUCUUGAGCGUUUGCGAAGCGAGCGCUUGCGAGGAGCGUUUCACGCUCUUCGCGACGGAGCGCGCCCCCAGUGGGAAGCGCAUCAGCGGUCGCGGUGUCCGCUCCGUCUACCGUCCAUCGGCGAUUGUUGAGGAGCGAUUUCGAGUGCGAACUGUCGCGGCGUACGUGCGGUGUGGGAGAGCCGUAUAGCGGCGGCAUCGGCUCUGGUACGCUGACAGUGUGCUUUGGUAGAAUUGGCUGCUGAAACAUAUAGCGAGUACGUAAUUCCUAAGGGAUUUGUGGUGGCAAUGUUGUGUUUAAGAAAAAAAGGAAUACAAAAGCAUCAUUAG